GUUCUCACUUCAGCAGAACAUUUACUGAAACUGAACAAUACAGAGAAGAUUAGUAUGACCCCUGUGCAAGGAACACAUGCAAAUUAGAGAGGCAUUCCUUAUUUUU
rnacentral:snRNA from 1 species